rnacentral:rRNA from 1 species
UACGAAGGUGGCAAGCGUUACUCGGAAUUACUAGGCGUAAAGGGCAGGUAGGUGGUUUGGUAAGUCUAUUGUGAAAGCUCCUGGCUUAACUGGGAGAGGUCAAUGGAUACUGCCGGACUUGAGUAUAGGAGAGGUUACUGGAAUUCCCGGUGUAGCGGUGAAAUGCGCAGAGAUCGGGAGGAACACCAAUGGCGAAAGCAGGUAACUGGACUAUUACUGACACUCAGCUGCGAAAGCUAGGGGAGCAAACAGG